rnacentral:rRNA from 1 species
UACGUAGGGGGCUAGCGUUGUCCGGAUUUAUUGGGCGUAAAGAGCGUGUAGGCGGCCGGGUAAGUCCGGUGUGAAAACUCGAGGCUUAACCUCGAGAUGUCGAUGGAAACCGUCGGGCUAGAGUCCGGAAGAGGAGUGUGGAAUUCCUGGUGUAGCGGUGAAAUGCGCAGAUAUCAGGAAGAACACCUAUGGCGAAGGCAGCACUCUGGGACGGUACUGACGCUGAGACGCGAAAGCGUGGGGAGCGAACAGG